rnacentral:lncRNA from 1 species
GUUACUGGGUGUGGAAGGAGUUUGGAAUUGUGCUGCAGAAACAGCUUCUAGAACCACCUGGGACGUCUUAACAGAGCCUGGGAAGAUGGGCCUUAUUCUUGACAUUAUAUUCCUUUUACGUUUAUUGUAAAAUAGGGGCUCUCUUCCCUGUGCUGUGCAGUGUCUCCUUGCAGCUUAUAUAUUUUCUACAUAGCAGUUUGUACCUCUCCCUUCCACCAUGUCCCCCACCCCCACAAAUUGGUCACCCCUAGUUUUCUGUAUCUGUGAGUCUAGUGCUUUUGGAUCAUAUUCACUUGUCUGCUGUGUUUUUUAAUUUCUACAUUUGAGUCCUGUGACACAGUAUUUGUCUUUCUCUGGCUGACUCCUGUCACUUAACAUAAUGCCCUCCAAGUCCAUCUGUGUAGCUGCAAAUGGCACGAUUUCAUUCUUUGUCAUGGCCGAGUGGUCUCCCAUUGUGCAUAUGCACCACAUCUUCUUAUCCAUUCCCCUGUCGUUGGACAUGUAGGUUGUUUCCAGGUCUUGGCUCUUGGGAAUACUUCUGCCAUGAACAUGGGGGUGCAUGGUUCUUUUUGAGUUGGUUUUCAUAUUUUCUGGGUGUGUGAACAGGAGUGGGGUCAUGGGAUCAUAUGGUCAGUUUCUUCUUCCAUGAUUGAAUAAACGGUAGAGCUUUCAAAACUAUAACUCGUGUCUAUUUUCCAUUUCCUAAUUUUUUGGGGGGUGGGGCUCCAGGAAAUGUGGCCUCCUCUGUACAUUCUCCAUCAUAUUUCCCUUCCUGGACUUCCUCCAUCCAUCCAACCUGAUGUUGCCAUUUCUGUCACCUUCUCUAGUUUCUACUGGAAGGACCCAGAGUCUCAGAUGUUGCACAUUUCACACAGUAGCAUAUUUGUGUGGCUCUGUGUUUCUGUAUCUGAUGCCUAAGGGUAAGGAUUAGACUCUGAAGAACUGAGAUGGUGUAACUGACCUGGGCUUGACUUGGUGUCUGCUUCCUGAGGGCCUGUGCCUCUGGCCUCUACUCCCACGGGGAAAAGCACAGGCCUGUCUGUGUCCCCCAUGUCUUGUUCUUAGGGAAUAAGCUUCAGCCACCAGGCCCUUCCCGGAGCCCCAAAGGGCAGGUGCCCAUAGGUGCUGAUCAUGGAGGGGCCAGCAGGGGACAUCAGGGCCUCCUGGGGGCAGGUCUUGGUUCCCCCUCAAGGGAUACACACAGCAAUGUCUUUGAGCUCUUCUGCAGAACUAAACCCCCAGCAAAUGAGAGCCAGAGAUGAGGACCCCCAGCACCAGUUCUGGGGCCCUUAAACCCCAGCUCUGAAGAAGAAUGCAAGCUUGCAUCUGCUCUGGUCCUUCUCUGUGGCCGUAUUUAAUAUUCCCCAAACUAUAUAAAACCACCCCCUCCUCAUCUCUCCCAAAGGGGAACCCAGUCUUUAGGGCAGCAGCCUGCUGUGACCCCAUUUGCCUGGCAAAUCAAGUUAUUUUUUUCCCUCCUUCACCCAAAAAUCCAUCUACAGGGUAGACGGAGGCUGAAUUUUGGCAGCAACCUCAGAGAACAAUCUAGAUGGACAUGAGCCUCGCCUUGGGGUUUCUUUCUUCCAAAACCUCCCCCCUUCUGCUGCUUGUGGCCACAGCUCAGGGCCUCCCAUUGGCCUGUCUGUCCUUUAUCCAGAGUUCAUCUCAUGAGAUUUCUUCUCUCACCAGCAGGUGCACCAUCUCUGGGGUUCUGACGUGGACACACUUUUUUCUCCAUACUUUGUGAUGUGUGUUUAUGGUCGUUGCCCCAAAGACAGAGACGAGCAUAUAAUAACAAGCCAGCAAUGUCUUUCAUUUCUGCUGUUCAUGGCUAAUUGGAUGGAAAGGUAGAAGCUGUUGAUUUUCCAGGAAGAAUACAUCCAGAAGGGAGUUCCCUGGGGUGGGGGUGUCUACGGGUUCAGACCCGACACUUUUGACCACGGAGGCCCAUGUUCCUUCCCUGGUCUGGGAACUAAGACCCCACAUCAAGCCUCUGCCCACCU